GCAGCACCCACUGUCUACCCAGUCCCAGUGAGAUGAGCCAGGUACCUUAGUUGGAAAUGCAGAAAUCACCCGCCUUCUGCGUUGAUCUCACUGGGAGCUGCAGACCAGAAAUUUAAAUCACUUUAGGUCACUUCUGAUUGAACAGAUUUGGUCAGUUUUCUUGCAGAGGCUGACAUUUGAAUGGGAACUUGGAAAACAGAUCUAAUGUCAAGUGAAUUUGAGACUCUAAAAUGCAACAAAUGGGCCAUAAAAAGUGGGGAAAACAGACAGAAACCAGGAAAGGAAACCCACGCCGUCCCAUUCCCUUAGGUACCAUGGAACCUUUAUGUAAGGAGAGGUGACAGGGUAAAAUGAGAAUGUAUGGAAAAAGUGCAAAUGAAUAAAAAUGCAAGAGAUGAGUUAAAAUGUUAUAUUGCUAUAGUAAUAUAUUUGCAUUAAAAACAAUUUAACCUCUGUGACAACAAGAAAGCUAAGUCUGAAUUAGUGUUUCCUGAAGUAUAUUCUUAAGAACAAUAAUUAUGCAGGAUAUCAAAUAAAAUUACAUGAAAAAAUUUAAGUGAUCAAAUAAUAUUCAGGAAAUUGGGUUAAAUAAGACCUCUUGAAGCCUUUAAUACUCUACCUUAGAGUGUGAAUAUCCAUAAAUGAGGCUCUAAUAUGCAACCGUUUCCAAACAUAUCUUAUCACAUUAUUAUUUUUCAAUGAAGCAUUUUACAGGAGUAAAGUUGAUCUAUAUUUAUUAGAGGUAUCUCGGUAACCACAGUAAGGAUGAAGCAGCUCAACCAUCUAAGGUGAGGUGGAAUGGAUUUCUUAAGGUGAGAAAGCAGAGCCAGAAGCUGAAGGCUGGAACUGCCCAGUGCAACUGUCCUUGAAGAAGAGGAGCGUUAGAAUGGCCCAUCCCACAGCCUCGGCAAACAUGUACACCAGAAGCAUGGAGCUGCUUCUCUGAAGUUUCUUAAGAUUUGCUGGUGCCCCUCAGUUUCAGAAAAAGUUAUCUACAAAUUCUCUUUAAAACUUGCAUAUCUCAUGUGGUUUAAUUCUUAUUAAAAUGCCUACUUCUAUUUAAACACACAAUAUGGGCACAUCGUACACACACACACACACACAAACACACACGAACAUGCACACUACUUUCACCUCCCGAAAAGGAGUCAUACUUUCGGGUGGUAUCCACAAAGGAGCUCGUUUUGUUCCUGUUGCUGAUCUCAUGGAUUUGCGAGCCAACAUUCCUGUGAGGUGCUGGCUUUCAGCUAUAUUCACCAGGGGCUGCAUAGGAGGAUCAACAUGAGGCACCUCUUUUUGACUGGCUUUUCUUCAGGCACUAAAGUCAUAACCAUCAUUUAUUGAAACUUACACUGUAUAAAGCAUUUCUGCAUUGUCUCUUCCCCUUAAAACGACCCUAUGAAGUAGUGAUUAUUCUCUGCAUCUUACAAUCGAGGAAACUGAAUUGGGAAGUUUAAACAGCUUGCCAAGAUUACACAGUUGUCUUCUAAUAUGCCUGUACUUUAAUAGAAGUUGAAGAAGGAAAGUAUCGAUAGCUUCAAGAGGACAAUAAAAAGGAACAGUUACUCCUGAUAAUGUAUUAAUUUGUAGGUAUCUAAGAAGUUCAAGGUGGCAACGAUUUUUCUCUCUCUCUCCUUCUGUCUCUGGACUUGAUAAAAAUCCUUCUAAAUUCUCUAUUCUAUUCAAUAGCCAAUUUUACCAAUCUCCUAUAAAAAUGAUCAAAUCCAAUAUGUGUGUAUUAGAAUGAAUACAUAAAAAACUUUUAUAAUUUUUUCAAAAUCUCGCACUCAUAAGUUGGUAAGUCAACCACGGAAAAAAACCUCAAAUAUAAAAUUAAUGCAUUUAAUGGUGUUUACGUUUUUAUUACCCUGUAAUUAUAUCUUUCCUGUGAUUGUUUUCCUUUUCAUGCUGGCCUAUAAAAUGUGGCUGCCUCAACCUGUUUUAAACAUCUACAUUUGUAGGAUUAGGACUAGUGAUGUUUUGCCAGUUUCCAUGAAAGAAGCCAGAUGCACUGAAGCAACCUCCUUUGAUAGUUAAAGUCCUUCAUUAAUUUGACACCUGGCACUCCCAGCUAUGGUCUUAUUCAUUUUUGGUAGAAUCGUUCUGGUCCACAGAUAAGAGCAUAUUCUCUGUCAUGAUAAAUGAAUUAUGAAAUUCCCUAUUGUAGCGAUUUUUAUACUCUGCUGUUAUAACUUACAUUAGCUAUCCUCUUACUGUAAAUAUUGAUUCAUUGCAAAGUGAAGACUGUUUAUAUUUAGGGUUGCCUAGUUUAAGAAAAUUUUCCAUAUCAUCUUUUCCCUUGCUAUAAAAUUCUUCAUUCCAAAGGCACUUUUAAUUUGGCCUCAUUUAUUUUGUAGUAUUUCAAAUGCUGCCAAAAUUUGCAUAAGUGCAUGGAGACAAAAUUAAGUCCAGAUUUUCCAAGAUGGAUAAAUUUGUGGGUGGUUAUUUUUUCUUCUCCACAGAAGGGUUGAUUGCAAAAUUCCAGUAAAUGACAAGUUUUCAACAUAAUCAGUUUUCUAGAACUCCAUAUUCUAGCAAAUUUUCAGAAAUUAAUCUCUUACAUUAAGUGAGUUACCCUAUGUAUGCAUGUAAGUAAAAAAAAUCCUACUUUUAAAAGUUUGGAUUUGUAUCUGGAAACUAAAAAAGCUAUUAAUUUUGCCAUACACUUAUGUUAUCAAUUAAAAUACUUUUGCAAUAAAUAAAUAUCUAAUAGUUUAUAUAUAUGAUAUAAAUAUAUACUUUAUACGUAAGAAAUAUAUAUAUUUCCUUCUGGCAUGAACCCAAUAGUACUCAAUAUUUUAACAUUUGUUGGGAAAUCCCUAGUAAACCACCAGGUUUUUACUUAAAUUAACAAAUGAUCAGCCUUUACCCCAGAAUUUUUUUAAAGAAUACAAAAUAUUAAAUUGCUAAUAGGUAUUUCCUGUUUAAGUUGGCCUCUAUCUUUAUCUGUUCUGCUUUGGAGAGGUUCCAUACCACUCUGGCUUGGACCAUGUAAUCCAGUACUUGCCAGUCAAAGCAGCAUUGUGUAAGAGCAUCCCAUGGCUCUUCCUUGACCUACAUCUCACCAGCUUUCAUACUUUCCCCUUUCUUCCUCCCCUACCUGCAGCACCUGAAGGGCAUAAGGGUAGUUCCAUGACUACCACUUUAAUUCUGUAAUAAAAUGUUGCUAGAGGAAAAGAGGUCAUGGGCUAAGUGUGGAGAUGAAUGCUACUUUGUAAACUGCUUUGUUAUCCACUAUUUCCACACUUGGUCUUUAUUUUUUUUAUUAUUUUAUUUUAUUCUAUUAUUACUAUACUUUAAGUUUUACAGUACAUGUGCACAAUGUGCAGGUUUGUUACAUAUGUAUACAUUGCCAUGUUGCUGUGCUGCACCCAUUAACUCGUCAUUUAGCAUUAGGUAUAUCUCCUAAUGCUAUCCCUCUCCCCUCCCCCUACCCCACAACAGGCCCCGGUGUGUGAUG
rnacentral:lncRNA from 1 species